GUUCUGCUUAAUGAAGUGAAACUUUUGCUCUGGCCAAGAUGUCCUCCAGAACAACAGCACCCUCAGCACUGGUGCUGGCUUUCUAGGAAGCAACAUUUCACCUGGGCUUUAACAGGCCCUGUGAUUGUUAUCCUCGCAGUUGAUUGUGUUCAAGAUCUUGGCCCGGUUCGUCAUACUGGGCUGUACCUGGAUGCUGGGUCUCUACCAGUUAAACCUUUGCUUCCGGGUCCUCUUCAUAAUUCUUAACUCCCAGCAGGGCACCUUCCUCUUCAUCGUCCACUGUGCGCUCAACAAGGAGAGAGAUGCACCUUCGAUCUGAGGAUUUGGACACGGAGGAGGGUAAAAAAUGAUGACUCCUGAUGAAAUAAGAGGGAGAACUGAGACUGAAUCAUCAGAUUGGAGUUAUGAUUUAAAUUUGUAUAAAUUCUAGUUUGAUGUAAAAAAAAAAUGUCUACAUAAUAAAUAUAUCCUUGUCUGUCUCUUAUAGAUCUAGCAGUCAUAUUUUAAAGUCUCAAACAGUUGGUGAGACUGUUUUUAAAUGCCAUUUUCUUAAUGUCUUUCAUUUAUUUAUAAAUAAACUUGCCUUGCCUAGUGCUGACAUUU